rnacentral:lncRNA from 1 species
AACAACGAUCAUGUCAGACUCAGUCACCUGGAGGCACCCGCAUCGUACUUACCCAGCAUGGAUUCAGUCUGCUCUGGCGGUCUGAUCCUCAAAUGGCUUAACCAUCCGGCGGCGAAAUCGUCGCACAAACGCCACGACAAUGGUUCAAGCCCCGGGCGGUGAUCUCCAUAUGAUCGCCCCCAAUCUACCCACGGUACCAAGCUCGGCGGCGAAGUUGUC